rnacentral:rRNA from 1 species
GGGUUGUGAGGUUAAGCGACUAAGCGUACACGGUGGAUGCCCUGGCAGUCAGAGGCGAUGAAGNNNNNNNNNNNNNNNNNNNNNCCGAAUGGGGAAACCCAGUGUGAUUCGUCACACUAUCAUUAACUGAAUCCAUAGGUUAAUGAGGCGAACCGGGGGAACUGAAACAUCUAAGUACCCCGAGGAAAAGAAAUCAACCGAGAUUCCCCCAGUAGCGGCGAGCGAACGGGGAGGAGCCCAGAGCCUGAAUCAGCAUGUGUGUUAGUGGAAGCGUCUGGAAAGGCGCGCGAUACAGGGUGACAGCCCCGUACACAAAAGCGCAUGUGCUGUGAGCUCGAUGAGUAGGGCGGGACACGUGGUAUCCUGUCUGAAUAUGGGGGGACCAUCCUCCAAGGCUAAAUACUCCUGACUGACCGAUAGUGAACCAGUACCGUGAGGGAAAGGCGAAAAGAACCCCGGCGAGGGGAGUGAAAAAGAACCUGAAACCGUGUACGUACAAGCAGUGGGAGCACAGGUUUACCUGUGUGACUGCGUACCUUUUGUAUAAUGGGUCAGCGACUUAUAUUCUGUAGCAAGGUUAACCGUAUAGGGGAGCCGGAGGG